UUUAUUUUCCUAAUAUUUUCAUAACAUUAAGAUGCUUUUUUUGUAUUGAAUUUUAUUUUUACAAAAAAAAUACCUAAUAUAUGACAGAAACUAUUCCUCCAUUCUUUAUACUUGUAAAUUUCUAAUCAUUCAGAAUAAUGUGCAGUUAAUAAUAAUAUGCAGUUAAAAAUAAUUGGAGAUAUCUCAUUCUUGAUUACUGUAUUUAUUCUGUAUACGGCACUGGCAGAAAGGUUAAAGGUCUUUGAUGCUACACCAAAGUGGCAAGAGACAGAAGCGGUGAACAUAAUAACUGAUCCGCAAAAACUUAAGGCUACAGAAACAGUAGAAAUUUUGAUAAAAAAACUAAGGGAAAGACAGUUAUAAACAACCCGCAAAAAAAUGAGUUUAGCGUGGGAGUAUUGCAGUAGAAAAGAAACACACAUAAGACAAUAACAAAUGGAAAAGAAUGACAAUGAUGUACUGAUUAAUAAGGAUAGAAGGAAGUUAAAAGUGAUAGGGAAGAAGUACUAUUAAUAACAGGAUUAACACAAAUAUUAGUAAAGUUAAGAACGGAGGUGUAGUUUAUUUUUGGUAGUAAAAAGCUCCUUCUAAGAAUUCAUAAACUUUUGAGAAUUCGAUUAUAAAAUGUUUUGAAUUAGAACAAAAAUUCUAGAACUGUAUAUUGUUUGUUCGUUUUUAUAUGUUAGCAUAUUAUUACUGAUGAGGGUUCGAGUGAACCGAAAGUACUUUAAUUAAUAAAAAUCUGUUAUAGUAUUUCUGAAGGUUUA
rnacentral:lncRNA from 1 species